UACGGAGGGUGCGAGCGUUGUCCGGAAUCACUGGGCGUAAAGGGCGCGUAGGCGGCCUGAUAAGUAGGGGGUGAAAUCCUGCGGCUUAACCGCAGGGCUGCCUUCUAAACUGUCAGGCUAGAGCACGGUAGAGGCAGAUGGAAUUCCCGGUGUAGCGGUGGAAUGCGUAGAGAUCGGGAGGAAGGCCGGUGGCGAAGGCGGCGCUCUGGAACAUUUCUGACGCUGAGGCUCGAAAGCGUGGGGAGCAAACAGG
rnacentral:rRNA from 1 species